AGUGAACGCUGGCGGUAGGCCUAACACAUGCAAGUCGAACGGCAGCACAGUAAGAGCUUGCUCUUACGGGUGGCGAGUGGCGGACGGGUGAGGAAUACAUCGGAAUCUACUUUUUCGUGGGGGAUAACGUAGGGAAACUUACGCUAAUACCGCAUACGACCUACGGGUGAAAGCAGGGGAUCUUCGGACCUUGCGCGAUUGAAUGAGCCGAUGUCGGAUUAGCUAGUUGGCGGGGUAAAGGCUCACCAAGGCGACGAUCCGUAGCUGGUCUGGGAGGAUGAUCAGCCACACUGGAACUGAGACACGGUCCAGACUCCUACGGGAGGCAGCAGUGGGGAAUAUUGGACAAUGGGCGCAAGCCUGAUCCAGCCAUACCGCGUGGGUGAAGAAGGCCUUCGGGUUGUAAAGCCCUUUUGUUGGGAAAGAAAAGCAGCAGGUUAAUACCCCGCUGUUCUGACGGUACCCAAAGAAUAAGCACCGGCUAACUUCGUG
rnacentral:rRNA from 1 species